rnacentral:lncRNA from 1 species
UAGAAAGUGAAUACACACAAAAGAGAAAAAAAGAACUAACCCCAUCAAAUUGACACAAAGCUGAAUAUUUAGCUCGAUCGAGAGCUCCAACAUCGGACCACCGUAUGUGUUGUCUCUGAUUGCCUUGUAAGUUAACUGAUAUGGCCGAAGAGUGCCACCUUCACACAAUUGAAGAAGUCACACCUCCCAUCUCUAUCUUAGUAAACUCCACUCUCUCUUUCUCUCUCUCUCUAUGUUUCUAUCUUUUACUCUGGUCUGUAUAUGUGAUUCGUGUUGGUGGUGACGUUUCAGAGAAGAAUACAAAACUGGUGAUGAUUAUCGUGAGUUAAAUAUCAAGUAAUGGGAUGGCUGAAU